rnacentral:tRNA from 1 species
CGGGGUGUAAGCCAGUGGUAGACUUCACGGCUUGGGACCGUGACGACGUGGGUUCAAAUCCCUCCGCCCCGA